rnacentral:ribozyme from 1 species
AGAAAGAAAUAGUACUAGAUGAAGCAAGAAUAUAGACAAAACUCAGGAGUGUCAGUUUCGUAUCUUUAAAAAAGUAUAGGUUUUCUUUUUUUUUUGGCUCUUUUUUUU